UUCAACAACGGAUCUCUUGGUUCUGGCAUCGAUGAAGAACGCAGCGAAAUGCGAUAAGUAAUGUGAAUUGCAGAAUUCAGUGAAUCAUCGAAUCUUUGAACGCACAUUGCGCCCCUUGGUAUUCCGAGGGGCAUGCCUGUUCGAGCGUCAUUAUAACCACUCAAGCUUCGGCUUGGUCUUGGGGUUCGCGGUCUCGCGUCCCUUAAAAUCAGUGGCGGUGCCGUCUGGCUCUAAGCGUAGUAAUUCUCUCGCUAUAGGGUCCCGGUGGUUGCCUGCCAGAACCCCCCAUUUUUUACGGUUGACCUCGGAUCAGGUAGGGAUACCCG
rnacentral:rRNA from 1 species